GUCCACGCUGUAAACGAUGGACACUAGGUGUCGGGGGUAUCCACUCCCUCGGUGCCGCCGCUAACGCAUUAAGUGUCCCGCCUGGGAAGUACGGCCGCAAGGUUAAAACUCAAAGGAAUUGACGGGGGCCCGCACAAGCGGUGGAGCAUGUGGUUCAAUUCGAUGCAACGCGAAAAACCUUACCUGGGUUUGACAUCUGGUGGACCUUCCUGAAAGGGAGGGGUGCCCGCAAGGGAGCGCCAAGACAGGUGCUGCAUGGCUGUCGU
rnacentral:rRNA from 1 species